CCUACGGGAGGCAGCAGUGGGGAAUAUUGCUCAAUGGAGGAAACCCUGAUGCAGCGACGCCGCGUGAGUGAUGAAGGAUUUCGGUGUGUAAAGCUCUUUCAGUAGGGAAGAAAAUGACGGUACCUGAUUAAGAAGCACCGGCUAAAUACGUGCCAGCAGCCGCGGUAAUACGUAGGGGGCAAGCGUUAUCCGGAUUUACUGGGUGUAAAGGGAGCGUAGACGGCAUCACAAGUCUGGAGUGAAAUGCUGGGGCUUAACCCCGGAACUGCUUUGGAAACUGUGCAGCUAGAGUGCAGGAGAGGUAAGUGGAAUUCCUGGGGUAGCGGUGAAAUGCGUAGAUAUUAGGAGGAACACCAGUGGCGAAGGCGGCUUACUGGACUGUAACUGACGUUGAGGCUCGAAAGCGUGGGGAGCAAACAGGAUUAGAUACCCUUGUAGUC
rnacentral:rRNA from 1 species